GUGAGGAAUAUUGGUCAAUGGACGAGAGCCUGAACCAGCCAAGUCGCGUGAAGGAAGAAGGAUCUAUGGUUCGUAAACUUCUUUUGCAGGGGAAUAAAGUGCAGGACGUGUUCUGUUUUGUAUGUACCCUGAGAAUAAGGAUCGGCUAACUCCGUGCCAGCAGCCGCGGUAAUACGGAGGAUCCGAGCGUUAUCCGGAUUUAUUGGGUUUAAAGGGUGCGUAGGUGGUUUGAUAAGUCAGCGGUGAAAGUUUGCAGCUUAACUGUAAAAAUGCCGUUGAAACUGUCGGACUUGAGUGUAAAUGAGGUAGGCGGAAUGCGUGGUGUAGCGGUGAAAUGCAUAGAUAUCACGCAGAACUCCGAUUGCGAAGGCAGCUUACUAAGCUACAACUGACACUGAAGCACGAAAGCGUGGGGAUCAAACAGGAUUAGAUACCCCAGUAGUCC
rnacentral:rRNA from 1 species